GGCCUUAUGAUAUAUGUAACAUACUGUCAUAAAGAGCUUAAUUUUAAAGAUAACAUAAGAUAAAAGGUUCUCUGUAGAAUCAUUCAUAGAGGGUUCUAGGAAGAACCUUUAGAUGAUAAAAGGGUUCUUGGUAGAACCAUUUAUAGAGGGGUAGCAGUAGCAGUUGCAUCACAAAUCACCUAGCAACCACACCAGGUGGCAUGUUGGAAGAUCAGAGUCAGUCUGGUGGAAGUCCUAAUCAACCACAUGGCUGGCUAUGUUUUGCUACCACUGAAAACAUUGGGAAGAUUGACCAUUAUUUUAUUUUUCUAAGGACGUAGAAAACAGUGGCAGUGGGAGAACCUAUUCAAAUACAGAGAGCUGUGAAACCCUGUUUGCAGAUGAAGAGGUCCCAAUGAAUGAUCCAAGAGAAUAAGGGUACAUCCUUGUAUACCAGUGGUCCUUGUACACCAACCUUUUCUGAGUUGAGAUCACUUUCUGAUUCAAAAUGCACUAUUGUAAAGUGGUUGUUCCACUGGAUAUCAUAAGGUGAAUGCACCAAUUUGUAAGUCGCUCUGGAUAAGAGCGUCUGCUAAAUGACUUAAAUGUAAUGUAAAUGUGAGAUCUAUCCCUCAGAUUUUUUUAAAGCAUGGCUUAAAACAUAUAAGCCUAAGCAACAUUAACCAAUUAAAAACAGGUCUGUAGCGAUGAGGUUUGCGCAGUAGACUAUAGGCCCCGAUACAUUAUCACUGCAUAUUGGCAAAGCUUGAAUUGCCCUGCCAAUGUGUUCUUCUCAGACCAUUUUGAAAUUAUAUUUAAACAUUUUAGCUACAUUAUCACACUGGUAAUAGACCAUGUGUUAUAUUACUUGUGAGGCACAGCUGAGUGAGCAUAAUCAUUUGCUUAUUUUUUUACUGGACUGAUGGCCUGCAUCUGAUGGUCAGUCUGAGGGGAGAGAGGGAGCAGCGGUGAGGCUGCCUCUCACCUGAUUCACCGUAUUUCCUCUCUCCCUCCGCUGAGAAAAGGGGAUACAGUCUUCCAGCUGAUGCCCAAACUUAAGUCACAAUGCAUUAUUUCUGCCUCAUGCACCAAUUCAUGUUGUUACUCCUAUGACCAUAGAAAGUGUAAUAAAUCCUCGAUAUUAAAAAAGACAAGCUGCAAAUAACAACUCAAGCUUAUCGAAACGCGCAUUUUAUGGCUUAUAAAACUGUUCACCAAAGUGUUGACAGUGCUGAAUAACAACUUAAACAUGAACUUAAUCAUAAAAACAGCAGCUCUUUGCUGUAUUCGUUGAGUCUCUCUCUAGUCAUGGUUUUAAAAGUUUUGAAAUCUCAUAUUAUCAACUUUGCUGUGCGUUUGAGGCUUCUUUUUUUACAGUCUAUGGCGUGAGAAACUGGGCCGACACAGUGAUCUGAGCUAUCUGAUUGGCCAGCGGUAGGCCUAUAGGUGCACUUGAUUUGCUCUCUGGGCCUGCUGGGUAGUUCUACCUUCAGACACAUGAAAAGGCUAAAAAUGGGAACACUGCCUUCCCGGCAUUUGGGCUGCUGAAUCAAGUGCAUUUACCGCCAACAGCGUGAAACGAAAAUAAAACAAAUAGGAACGCAAGGCUUUAGUGUUGGGUCUUUUGCAGAAAUGUUUGGAGAUCGACUAGUGGAUCGCGAUCUUCCGUUUGGUGACCACUGUUGUAUAACAUGAGUUACGUGUACCUAUGUUAGCAAUGUUGUAAACAAAAAUACAGUUUAAUAGUCACACACAAUGUACGUAUAAACCUAUUACAACUUGAGCAGGCCAACCUUGCUGGUUGUGCAGGCUUCUGUUCUAGCCCUGCAAUAACACACGUGAUUCAAAUAAUCAAACCUAAUUAGUUGAUAAUCAAUUGUGCUAUUUCUGGGCUGGAACCAAGUAGAACAGCGAUCAGUUGAGCGAGGUUGGCCACCUCUGGUGUUGUCUUUUUUUUGUUCAUCUGAAAUGAUGCUUUAGUAAUAAUAACCUAUUUGUUACUAAGAUAUCUAACCUUUACAUAUGAGUUAGCUUACUUGUACACUUUGAAAUGAUAUUAAAUAAAAUGUUGAUUCUUUGAA